UACGGAGGGAGCUAGCGUUGUUCGGAAUUACUGGGCGUAAAGCGCACGUAGGCGGCUUUUUAAGUCAGGGUGAAAUCCCGGGGCUCAACCCCGGAACUGCCCUUGAAACUGGAGAGCUAGAAUCUUGGAGAGGCGAGUGGAAUUCCGAGUGUAGAGGUGAAAUUCGUAGAUAUUCGGAAGAACACCAGUGGCGAAGGCGACUCGCUGGACAAGUAUUGACGCUGAGGUGCGAAGCGUGGGAGCAAACAGG
rnacentral:rRNA from 1 species